GACGAACGCUGGCGGCGUGCUUAACACAUGCAAGUGGAGCGACGAACCCGGGCUUGCCCGGGGGCAGAGCCGCGAACGGGUGAGUAACACGUGGGUAACCUGCCCCGAUGACUGGGACAACCCGAGGAAACUCGGGCUAAUACCGGAUGAACUCUUCUCACAUGAGUGAGAUUUGAAAGGAAGCUUCGGCCUCCGCAUUGGGAUGGGCCCGCGGCCCAUUAGCUUGUUGGUGGGGUAACGGCCUACCAAGGCUUCGAUGGGUAGCUGGUCUGAGAGGACGAUCAGCCACACUGGGACUGAGACACGGCCCAGACUCCUACGGGAGGCAGCAGUGGGGAAUCUUGCGCAAUGCGCGAAAGCGUGACGCAGCAACGCCGCGUGCGGGAAGACGGCCU
rnacentral:rRNA from 1 species